rnacentral:rRNA from 1 species
UGGGGAAUUUUGGACAAUGGGGGAAACCCUGAUCCAGCCAUCCCGCGUGUGCGAUGAAGGCCUUCGGGUUGUAAAGCACUUUUGGCAGGAAAGAAACGUCGCGGGUUAAUACCCCGCGAAACUGACGGUACCUGCAGAAUAAGCACCGGCUAACUACGUGCCAGCAGCCGCGGUAAUACGUAGGGUGCAAGCGUUAAUCGGAAUUACUGGGCGUAAAGCGUGCGCAGGCGGUUCGGAGAGAAAGACGUGAAAUCCCAGAGCUUAACUUUGGAACUGCAUUUUUAACUACCGGGCUAGAGUGUGUCAGAGGGAGGUGGAAUUCCGCGUGUAGCAGUGAAAUGCGUAGAUAUGCGGAGGAACACCGAUGGCGAAGGCAGCCUCCUGGGAUAACACUGACGCUCAUGCACGAAAGCGUGGGGAGCAAACAGGAUUAGAUACCCUGGUAGUCCACGCCCUAAACGAUGUCAACUAGCUGUUGGGGCCUUCGGGCCUUGGUAGCGCAGCUAACGCGUGAAGUUGACCGCCUGGGGGAGUACGGUCGCAAGAUUAAAACUCAAAGGAAUUGACGGGGGUCAUAGCUGUUUCCUG